rnacentral:rRNA from 1 species
GAUCCUGGCUCAGGAUGAACGCUAGCUACAGGCUUAACACAUGCAAGUCGAGGGGCAGCAUGGUCUUAGCUUGCUAAGGCCGAUGGCGACCGGCGCACGGGUGAGUAACGCGUAUCCAACCUGCCUUACACUCUUGGACAGCCUUCUGAAAGGGAGAUUAAUACAAGAUGUUAUCAUGAGUAAGCAUUUUCACAUGAUUAAAGGUUUACCGGUGUAAGAUGGGGACGCGUUCCAUUAG